CCUACGGGGGGCAGCAGUGAGGAAUAUUGGUCAAUGGACGAGAGUCUGAACCAGCCAAGUAGCGUGAAGGAUGACUGCCCUAUGGGUUGUAAACUUCUUUUAUAUGGGAAUAAAACGUUCCACGUGUGGGAUUUUGUAUGUACCAUAUGAAUAAGGAUCGGCUAACUCCGUGCCAGCAGCCGCGGUAAUACGGAGGAUCCGAGCGUUAUCCGGAUUUAUUGGGUUUAAAGGGAGCGUAGGUGGAUUGUUAAGUCAGUUGUGAAAGUUUGCGGCUCAACCGUAAAAUUGCAGUUGAAACUGGCAGUCUUGAGUACAGUAGAGGUGGGCGGAAUUCGUGGUGUAGCGGUGAAAUGCUUAGAUAUCACGAAGAACUCCGAUUGCGAAGGCAGUUCACUGGACUGCAACUGACACUGAGGCUCGAAAGUGUGGGUAUCAAACAGGAUUAGAUACACCGGUAGUC
rnacentral:rRNA from 1 species